UACGAAGGGGGGCUAGCGUUGCUCGGAAUUACUGGGCGUAAAGCGUGCGCAGGCGGUUUUGUAAGACUGUCGUGAAAUCCCCGGGCUCAACCUGGGAAUGGCGAUGGUGACUGCAAGGCUAGAGUUUGGCAGAGGGGGGUAGAAUUCCACGUGUAGCAGUGAAAUGCGUAGAUAUGUGGAGGAACACCGAUGGCGAACGGCAGCCCCCUGGGUCAAAACUGACGCUCGAUGCACGAAAGCGUGGGGAGCAAACAGG
rnacentral:rRNA from 1 species